rnacentral:rRNA from 1 species
GAACGAACGCUGGCGGCAGGCCUAACCCAUGCAAGUCGAGCGCCCUUUCGGGGGAGCGGCGGACGGGUGAGUAACGCGUGGGAAUAUGCCCUUCUCUACGGAAUAGCCUCGGGAAACUGAGAGUAAUACCGUAUACGCCCUGUGGGGGAAAGAUUUAUCGGGGAAGGAUUAGCCCGCGUUGGAUUAGGUAGUUGGUGGGGUAAUGGCCUACCAAGCCGACGAUCCAUAGCUGGUUUGAGAGGAUGAUCAGCCACACUGGGACUGAGACACGGCCCAGACUCCUACGGGAGGCAGCAGUGGGGAAUCUUAGACAAUGGGGGCAACCCUGAUCUAGCCAUGCCGCGUGAGUGAUGAAGGCCUUAGGGUUGUAAAGCUCUUUCAGCUGGGAAGAUAAUGACGGUACCAGCAGAAGAAGCCCCGGCUAACUCCGUG